rnacentral:lncRNA from 1 species
AUGAAGCUUGGAAUAUUUUCAGGACCCCUGGCACCUACUUACUUAAAACAUUUUUCAGGUCUCCAAAGUCACAACCCCACCCAUCUUCUUAUAGAUUUUGAAUCAUCUGAAAAAUCUUCACAGGAGUCAGAGGACAGUCCAAUUUAUCUGCCGAGGAUUCCUCUUGGAAAGGAAUGCCGACUCGCAUUUUGCAUUAAGAAACUGGAAAACUUUCCAAUCGGUCCUGGCGUAGCGCCUCCGUGUCCGGGGUAGAUCUUGUACCCGCUAAAACUGCACAGCUCCACCUUCAUGGCGACGGCUCCACGGGAAGAGAAAAGAUCUGCAUCUGAACUUUCUAAUCAUCACGUUCUAAAUCAUUCUGCUCAAUAUCCUUAAAAAAGCAAACAACAACAACAACAAAAAAAAAAACAGCAAAAAAAGAAAAAAACAAGCGUUAUCAUCCCUUCCUAUUCACCACUAGAAGCGCUGUCACUAAAACACAACAUAUUUUAAUGUUUGUAGGUAUUCAGCCAUAUGUUACUUAACAUCAUGCUCAUCAUAGUAGAUGACAUACAGAUUGAGUCAAAAAGUAAUCAUGUUCCGAAGCCAUAACAAUCUUUCAGUCUUGUCUCUUCCACUUAAUGCUGCUGGUCUAUCCCUGGGUAAAAAUCUCUUAUUACUACUACCGCUCUGGCCUCUUUACAAGUCUUUUUUAUGUGCUCAAGUCAUUUCACAAUCUGCUUGUUUCUUUAUGUUUGGUGGCCUACAACAUACAAUAUUCCAAUAGCUAGUUUACUAAAACACAUCCCAAUAUGUCCAACUUUAAGUCCUAACAGCUCUUCACUAUUAGUAGGCUCUUUUUGAUCCUUUAAUAUUACACAAUUCCUACUCUACAUUGCUUCAUACCUCUUGGAGACGGGGUUCUUGUGAGUAUGAUUAGAGUGAUGAACUUCUAAAUCCUGUUCCCCAUUCAUGUUAGUCAAGAACAUAUAAACCAAGUACCUCACCUGGUAUCAACCAAAAGAGGUUUAUAGUAAAUGAUGCAUGUACAUGUAAAACUAUAAGAAAAAUGUAUAGUCCUCCCUAAAAUUCUUGAACCAAAUUUGUUAAGAUAUAUACAGUAAUGGCUAUGGUAACCAUGAAUUCAUAGCUUAAAGGUGAAUAGCAUUCCCAUUGAUUCCACCCCAGCCAUA